CAUGGCUCAGAUUGAACGCUGGCGGCAGGCCUAACACAUGCAAGUCGAACGGUAACAGGAAGCAGCUUGCUGCUUUGCUGACGAGUGGCGGACGGGUGAGUAAUGUCUGGGAAACUGCCUGAUGGAGGGGGAUAACUACUGGAAACGGUGGCUAAUACCGCAUAACGUCGCAAGACCAAAGAGGGGGACCUUCGGGCCUCUUGCCAUCAGAUGUGCCCAGAUGGGAUUAGCUUGUUGGUGAGGUAACGGCUCACCAAGGCGACGAUCCCUAGCUGGUCUGAGAGGAUGACCAGCCACACUGGAACUGAGACACGGUCCAGACUCCUACGGGAGGCAGCAGUGGGGAAUAUUGCACAAUGGGCGCAAGCCUGAUGCAGCCAUGCCGCGUGUAUGAAGAAGGCCUUCGGGUUGUAAAGUACUUUCAGCGGGGAGGAAGGUGUUGUGGUUAAUAACCGCAGCAAUUGACGUUACCCGCAGAAGAAGCACCGGCUAACUCCGUGCCAGCAGCCGCGGUAAUACGGAGGGUGCAAGCGUUAAUCGGAAUUACUGGGCGUAAAGCGCACGCAGGCGGUCUGUCAAGUCGGAUGUGAAAUCCCCGGGCUCAACCUGGGAACUGCAUUCGAAACUGGCAGGCUUGAGUCUUGUAGAGGGGGGUAGAAUUCCAGGUGUAGCGGUGAAAUGCGUAGAGAUCUGGAGGAAUACCGGUGGCGAAGGCGGCCCCCUGGACAAAGACUGACGCUCAGGUGCGAAAGCGUGGGGAGCAAACAGGAUUAGAUACCCUGGUAGUCCACGCCGUAAACGAUGUCUACUUGGAGGUUGUGCCCUUGAGGCGUGGCUUCCGGAGCUAACGCGUUAAGUAGACCGCCUGGGGAGUACGGCCGCAAGGUUAAAACUCAAAUGAAUUGACGGGGGCCCGCACAAGCGGUGGAGCAUGUGGUUUAAUUCGAUGCAACGCGAAGAACCUUACCUGGUCUUGACAUCCACAGAAGAAUCCAGAGAUGGAUUUGUGCCUUCGGGAACUGUGAGACAGGUGCUGCAUGGCUGUCGUCAGCUCGUGUUGUGAAAUGUUGGGUUAAGUCCCGCAACGAGCGCAACCCUUAUCCUUUGUUGCCAGCGGUUAGGCCGGGAACUCAAAGGAGACUGCCAGUGAUAAACUGGAGGAAGGUGGGGAUGACGUCAAGUCAUCAUGGCCCUUACGACCAGGGCUACACACGUGCUACAAUGGCGCAUACAAAGAGAAGCGACCUCGCGAGAGCAAGCGGACCUCAUAAAGUGCGUCGUAGUCCGGAUUGGAGUCUGCAACUCGACUCCAUGAAGUCGGAAUCGCUAGUAAUCGUGGAUCAGAAUGCCACGGUGAAUACGUUCCCGGGCCUUGUACACACCGCCCGUCACACCAUGGGAGUGGGUUGCAAAAGAAGUAGGUAGCUUAACCUUCGGGAGGGCGCUUACCACUUUGUGAUUCAUGACUGGGGUGAAGUCGUAACAAGGUAACCGUAGGGGAACCUGCGGUUGGA
rnacentral:rRNA from 1 species